AGAGUUUGAUUCUGGCUCAGGAUGAACGCUAGCGGCAGGCUUAACACAUGCAAGUCGAGGGGUAGCAGGAGUAGCAAUACUUGCUGACGACCGGCGCACGGGUGAGUAACAGGUAUGCAAUCUGCCUCUAACCGGGGGAUAACCCGUCGAAAGACGGACUAACACCGCAUAAGACCACAGGUCGGCAUCGAUCAGGGGUAAAAUAUUUAUAGGUUAGAGAUGAGCAUGCUUAUCAUUAGGUAGUUGGUAGAGUAACGGCCUACCAAGCCGACGAUGAUUAGGGGUUCUGAGAGGAAGGUCCCCCACACUGGAACUGAGACACGGUCCAGACUCCUACGGGAGGCAGCAGUGAGGAAUAUUGGUCAAUGGGCGCAAGCCUGAACCAGCCAUGCCGCGUGAAGGAAGACGGCCUUAUGGGUUGUAAACUUCUUUUGUACGGGAACAAUAAGAUCUACGUGUAGAUCGACGAGCGUACCGUACGAAUAAGCAUCGGCUAACUCCGUGCCAGCAGCCGCGGUAAUACGGAGGAUGCGAGCGUUAUCCGGAUUUAUUGGGUUUAAAGGGUGCGUAGGCGGGCCCAUAAGUCAGUGGUGAAAUACCUCAGCUCAACUGGGGAAUUGCCAUUGAUACUGUGGUUCUUGAGUAUAUUUGAGGUAGGCGGAAUGUGUGGUGUAGCGGUGAAAUGCUUAGAUAUCACACAGAACACCAAUUGCGAAGGCAGCUUACUAAAAUAUAACUGACGCUGAAGCACGAAAGUGUGGGGAUCAAACAGGAUUAGAUACCCUGGUAGUCCACACUGUAAACGAUGAUUACUGGAUGUUUGCCGGGUUACUGGUGAGCGUCUCAAGCGAAAGCAUUAAGUAAUCCACCUGGGGAGUACGUCGGCAACGAUGAAACUCAAAGGAAUUGACGGGGGCCCGCACAAGCGGAGGAACAUGUGGUUUAAUUCGAUGAUACGCGAGGAACCUUACCCGGGCUAGAACGUAGGGAGACCGAUGGGGAAACUCAUUUUCAGCAAUGACUGCCUACGAGGUGCUGCA
rnacentral:rRNA from 1 species